GAGUUUGAUUAUGGCUCAGGAUGAACGCUGGCGGUAUGCUUUACACAUGCAAGUCGUACGAGAGUUUUUAACUCAAGUGGCGGACGGGUGAGUAACACGUAAGAAUUUGCCUUUAGGAGGGGGAUAACAACUGGAAACGGUUGCUAAUACCCCAUAUGCUUUCGAGUGAAACGGUUUUUCCGCCUAAAGAGAAGCUUGCGGCUGAUUAGCUUGUUGGUGAGGUAAUGGCUCACCAAGGCGACGAUCAGUAUCUGGUUUGAGAGGACGAUCAGACACACUGGAACUGAGACACGGUCCAGACUCCUACGGGAGGCAGCAGUGGGGAAUUUUCCGCAAUGGGCGAAAGCCUGACGGAGCAAUACCGCGUGAGGGAUGACGGCCUAUGGGUUGUAAACCUCUUUUUUCAGGGAGGAAUAAAUGACGUGUACCUGAGGAAUAAGCAUCGGCUAACUCCGUGCCAGCAGCCGCGGUAAGACGGAGGAUGCAAGUGUUAUCCGGAAUCACUGGGCGUAAAGCGUCUGUAGGUGGUCCAAUAAGUCAACUGUUAAAUCUUGAGGCUCAACCUCAAAAUCGCAGUCGAAACUAUUAGACUAGAGUAU
rnacentral:rRNA from 1 species